AGAGUUUGAUCCUGGCUCAGGAUGAACGCUGGCGGCGUGCCUAAUACAUGCAAGUCGAGCGAACGGACGAGAAGCUUGCUUCUCUGAUGUUAGCGGCGGACGGGUGAGUAACACGUGGAUAACCUACCUAUAAGACUGGGAUAACUUCGGGAAACCGGAGCUAAUACCGGAUAAUAUUUUGAACCGCAUGGUUCAAAAGUGAAAGACGGUCUUGCUGUCACUUAUAGAUGGAUCCGCGCUGCAUUAGCUAGUUGGUAAGGUAACGGCUUACCAAGGCAACGAUGCAUAGCCGACCUGAGAGGGUGAUCGGCCACACUGGAACUGAGACACGGUCCAGACUCCUACGGGAGGCAGCAGUAGGGAAUCUUCCGCAAUGGGCGAAAGCCUGACGGAGCAACGCCGCGUGAGUGAUGAAGGUCUUCGGAUCGUAAAACUCUGUUAUUAGGGAAGAACAUAUGUGUAAGUAACUGUGCACAUCUUGACGGUACCUAAUCAGAAAGCCACGGCUAACUACGUGCCAGCAGCCGCGGUAAUACGUAGGUGGCAAGCGUUAUCCGGAAUUAUUGGGCGUAAAGCGCGCGUAGGCGGUUUUUUAAGUCUGAUGUGAAAGCCCACGGCUCAACCGUGGAGGGUCAUUGGAAACUGGAAAACUUGAGUGCAGAAGAGGAAAGUGGAAUUCCAUGUGUAGCGGUGAAAUGCGCAGAGAUAUGGAGGAACACCAGUGGCGAAGGCGACUUUCUGGUCUGUAACUGACGCUGAUGUGCGAAAGCGUGGGGAUCAAACAGGAUUAGAUACCCUGGUAGUCCACGCCGUAAACGAUGAGUGCUAAGUGUUAGGGGGUUUCCGCCCCUUAGUGCUGCAGCUAACGCAUUAAGCACUCCGCCUGGGGAGUACGACCGCAAGGUUGAAACUCAAAGGAAUUGACGGGGACCCGCACAAGCGGUGGAGCAUGUGGUUUAAUUCGAAGCAACGCGAAGAACCUUACCAAAUCUUGACAUCCUUUGACAACUCUAGAGAUAGAGCCUUCCCCUUCGGGGGACAAAGUGACAGGUGGUGCAUGGUUGUCGUCAGCUCGUGUCGUGAGAUGUUGGGUUAAGUCCCGCAACGAGCGCAACCCUUAAGCUUAGUUGCCAUCAUUAAGUUGGGCACUCUAAGUUGACUGCCGGUGACAAACCGGAGGAAGGUGGGGAUGACGUCAAAUCAUCAUGCCCCUUAUGAUUUGGGCUACACACGUGCUACAAUGGACAAUACAAAGGGCAGCGAAACCGUGAGGUCAAGCAAAUCCCAUAAAGUUGUUCUCAGUUCGGAUUGUAGUCUGCAACUCGACUACAUGAAGCUGGAAUCGCUAGUAAUCGUAGAUCAGCAUGC
rnacentral:rRNA from 1 species